ACACCGGGUUCAGCGCCCAAGCGUGCGCGCGCGUCCCCGCUCGUCGCCCGGCUCGGCGUCGGGAGCGCGCUCGGUGUGGCCGCUGCUGCAGUGUUGUUGUGGCUGUGAGAAGGCGGCGGCGGCGGCGGAGUAGCAGCCGGACCAGACUCCCUAGUAGCUCAGGCGCCGCUCUGCGCCGGCCCUGGCAGGGAGCCUGGUGAGAUGGUGGAGGAGGAGGCUGUGCCGUGGCGGGCCUUGCUAUGUCCUGCUGCCUG
rnacentral:lncRNA from 1 species